rnacentral:lncRNA from 1 species
CUUGAAAUCUCUUUGAAACUUGAUAUUGAUCUUUUAGAGAGUGGUGAAUGUGUUUGUUCCGAAUCUGCCCGUGAAAUAGAUCAUGCUCUCUUAAGGUAUAAUAUCUUGUUUGAAGAUGAUAUAACCACUCCUAAUGAACCUAGUGGUGGAAAUGAUGGUAUAGCUUGCCUUAGAAGCUAUAGCCGAUAUGCUAACCCACUAUGGUAUGACAACAUUCCUCCUAAAGAUGGAAAUCUCUUCUUGGAAGAUUAGAGUACUAUUAAGAGUAAGGGAUGUGUGGUUUUGGAAACUACUUCUCCUUCUACUUUGUGUGACUUUAUUGUUGAGAGUACUCAUGGUGAUGAUUGUGAAACUAGUAGUGAGUAAACACAUGAGGGCACCUUAUUAGUAGUCGACUUGAGUGAUACCUUUCUCUACUUUCUAUUUGCUCUAGAAAAUACGUAUGUUAUUGUAGAGAGUAUGCCAUUUAUUUUGGGUGGAUACCACGGGAAAGGAGAGUGUUGUCUAGACCCGUGUCUUUGGCCACUCUUCCCGUUUGACCCCGGUGCCAAAUAUAGAAUUGGUGAUGAUGGUGCACCCAACUUGUUUCUUGGUUUACAUGACAAGCAAAGUAUCAUUUUUGGUGAAUUCUAUAGCCAAAUCUUUUGUGUAUUUUUUAUUAAUUAUGUAAUAUCUAGUUCAAAGGAUCCUUGGUUAUAUUCUAAAUAUGUGCAAAUUUGGCAUGUUGAGGUGAUUUGUCGUGCUUACCCUAACCCUCACGCCAUGAGGAGUUUGUAUUUGUGUGUUCUUUCUUUGGUUUUGCAAGGUUUGGAUUCGAGGUCGAAUUAUUUUCAAGAAGGGGAGGAUGAUACAAUUCAAAUGGUUACCUUAGCUUUCAAUGACAUCAUUCGAAGUCAAUACGUGGGGCAUCAAGCUUUGGUCACAUUAAGGAAACGGGAUCCUACAUGGAGGGGCCGAUUUGAGUACACCAAAGAGCAAUCCCACGUGUGAAAGAUUGCUUGGAGCAUUAAAGAUUGAGGGCUCACGGUUUAGGGCCUUCAUUAAGGACAUUUUGGUUACUUAGACUUAUCCAAGUAACACUCCAUGACCACCCCUUUUCAUUAAGGGUAUUGUGGUCAUUUUGUUAUGUAAUAAGUUAGACUAUAAAUAGGUUCUAUUAGUACAUUUUCUAGUUAGUUUAUGAAAGAUGAAAGAUUGAAACACUUGAAAUCCUCUCUCUUGAUAGUAGACCACCUUAGUAUAGUCUUAGUUAGGACUUGAAAAAGUCAUCCUUAGUAUAGGGCUUGGAAAAGUCAAUAUUGUUCUUUGCCUUGAAACGGUGGAUCUUGAGGUGAGUCGAUUACCUUGGCGGUCACCGUAAGAGUGUGGUUUUGAUAAUUACAUUCAUUAGGGGGUUAAUGUUUAAAUAUACUUGGUUCUUAAUCUUGUAAUAAUCUUGGUCUCACUAUCUAUCCUUUCAUUAUUUUGCAAAUCUGUGUGUUUUUGUGUUUGUCAUCUUGUAUCCCUUUGUGUUGUUUGUUCUUCUCACAUUUUGUGGACUGUUUUGGCAUCUUGGUGGACUGAUUUGUAUUACGGCUGUAUACCCAUGUUAUGCAAGAAUUGGCCAUUCCAUUUCUCUUUCUUAGUGAUCGAAUUUGGGUAAAUUUGAUGUUAGAUUGUAGUUCGAAAGACAUCUAUUUCAUGUCAUGAUUUACUUUACAUAAUUCUUGUCUUUCAUAAAAUUUAGUUUUUGUCUAUGGACGGAAGCAUGUCCUGACUAAGUACUCCUUGCUUGGUCUAGAGACUUUGUAUGGACAACUGUGGACUUGGGUAUGGUAUGGAUUAUUUAUGCUAUUUAUUCAUACACUGACUUAUCAUUAUGGUAUUGGUUUAUGGCUUCUGCAUUGGUUUGGUUGGUUAUUGGGUGGUUGGACUUGAUUGAGUUAGUCUCGGUUAUAGACUUUUCCCAGAGUCACCACACGGUUGGAUACGCUAUUUUAUUAUAUGUUCAGAUUUUAGCCAACUUAAGGUAUGUGUUUGAUGGUUGAGUUGGGUAACGAGGGAGGUUCCUGGUUCUGGUUGGGCCUGGAAUUUCCCAUUACGACAAGGCUCUGAUUCAAGUCAUGUCAGAUACAUAACACAGUUUUAGAUAAUUUGAUGCAUAUAUAAGCUUAUUUGUGACAUUUAGUAAAAUUAACUUUUUUUUAGAUGUGCAAUCAAGAAAUCAAGAUUCGAUAUCAGGUAAACAUAUUUGACCGUGUAGUGCUUAUUUUUUUCAAUGCAUAUUAUUUAUUUACUAAGUAUUUGGACAAGUAAAUAUGUAUAUGAUAGUUUCAAAGAAAAUGUUAUUGUUCUUACCUAUUAGCACGUAUUUUAUACAUACCGCUAGAUAUCCAAAGAGAAAACUUUGAGAACAGUUCUUUUGGAUAUGAUCCACAAAUUUUGUGACCUUCAAACGGAUACUUCAACUUCUCGUCAGUUUUUUUGCUUUUUUAUCCAAAAUAAAAAAUAGUAAUGAAUGGAGAUUGAAAUUUUUUUUAAGGCUGUCUAAUACUUUGGGUCAAUGUCUUUAUGACAUUUGAAUUCAAACUCUUGCACAUAAAAGUACGUGACAUUCCUUGAAGAGCAUUAUCACUGAUAUAAAAUUGACUAUCAGUACUGCCUUGAGGGUUGAAUGUCUCAACACAAUCUGUUUUUUAAUUCUUAAACUCAAGCAUCUGUGAUAUUAUUGCAAGGGCACAAUCAGAGACGAAAAAUUAACUUUCAAUAGUGCCUUAGGCGUUGAUUGCGGACAAUGAUACAAUAGCUAACACAGUUACUUCAUUUAAUUCUAGAUGUGUAUCAAAUACUUCAUCUUCUUGCAAAUUAUCUCUGCCAUCAAUAUCAACAUCCUACUUAAUAUAUGUAAACUGAUUAUUUUGCGUUAGAUUGAAAAUAAAAGUAACUUCAACAAUAUAAGACGAGGUAACUUGACACAUUUUAUUAUAUGUAUCAUCCAUAUACCAUGUCAGUUUAGCUCAUGUGAGAAAGGACAUAUCUGAAUAUUUAAAAAUCUAUUUAGUUAAAAAUUAACUAUAAAUUUUUUUAAAAAACAUAAUUAUACUCAAGUAAAUCUAUCUAUGUAACAACUGAAUAUGUUAUUCAUAGUAUCUUUACGUGUUGGUUAUCUUGUUUCAGUGGUAUAUCAUUUAUUUGAUUCUCUUGCAUUCUCCAUGCACAUGAUUAUUUUUAACGUCUGUGUUAUCCUUAGUGAGAAUAAUGAGGGUCUUCUUUUUUAUCUGGGCUAUCUUUUUUACUUUUGUGAACUAAAGAAUAGGAAAUCUGAAAGAUAAUAAUUUAGAAAAAUGCAUAAAAUGGUGGUACUAAUGUACAAUUUUAAAUACCUCAUUAUUUAUAAUCGGGCAAUCUUUUACAUUUUUUACUAUGUUCAUGUAAUGGUUCGUCAUCAACGAUUGCAGCACACUGAAUUAUAUGCCAACCUACAAUGUCAAAAGUAAAAAUAUGUAAGUGCAUAAUACUUUAUGAUUGACAUAGAAUGUCUGAUAAAACAUACUUUAUCUUCUUUUUUUAAAGUUUGAUACAUAUAAUUACAUAUGUAUAAUGUGUGUCUCCCCCCCCCCCUCCGGGCCCCCGCACACACACACACAAACACACAUAUAUGUCGACAACAUACGUGUCUUUUAUCUAAUAAUUUAAUAUUUUUUCUUAUGUGUAUUAGUCAUACAUGUCAUAUAUCUAGGUGUACAAAUGUAUAUGUAUCAAUGAAAUUUAACAUGAUAAUUUUGUAUGAUAUGUGUCAAAGGGAUACAUAUUCUUUGAUUCAUUAUAUAUAUGGAUAGAAAUUUAUAAUUUAUAAGUGUGUAUAUGUAAUAACUGAAGAUGAAAAUUAUAAAAGAGAAAUAGUACUUACAUAAGUCUUAACAUAAGACUUUAUCUCAUCCAAGUCUGACAUGAAAGAUGGUUGUUUUUGCUUUACAAUAGUAGCAUCAGGUGAAUUCAUCUCCUCAUGAAUAUGCAUAGCCACAGAAGGAUGAUGUUGAACAUGACGUAUAUAUUGUGUCUUUUUUCUAUAAAGUGUGAGGAGCCAAAUGAGUUUUUGAUGAGUUUGACGGGUGCCUAUCUUUGGACAACGAGGAUAACUGUUUUGGGGUCUUUGAAAUACUAAGGCUCACUUUUUUUGACACAACAACAAUUUGUUAUUUCUUUGCAUUAGAAGGACAAGACUGACCAACAUCACUCAUUUUUUUACAGUUCUACAGAUGGUGCAGUACUAAAAUCUUUAAUUCAUCGUCAAUUUUAAGUCAGAGUAACCUUUAUUGAUUCAUUUUCUACAAAUACUGUAGGAAAUUAGAAGUCCCUAAAUCAAUUGGACCAAUGCUAAAUGGGUCAUUCAAAUAAAAUUGGUUCAAUUCCUAUGGUGAUGAGAAUAUAUUAUUGUAUACAAGCUAUAACAAAAACAACAUAAAAUACAAAGCAACUAGUGAGACACAUCAUAUAUAGGUAAUUACAAAUAAACAAGAGACAUACACAUCUGAUAUAGUUGGAUGUGUAAGAGCAUUCCUUUACUAAACAUGUCUUUCAUUAAAUCUUCAUAUCUUGUCUUUGGUUUAACCAUUUUUGAAAUAAUCAUUCUUGGGAUUAAAUUUUUCUUACGUAUGACUAUUGAUUCGUGAACUUCAAAAUAAUAUUCAUAUCACCAGACCUAAACAUAUAUGGCAUGUCAUUCAAAUAAUAAUAUUGUCUAAUUUCAUUCAUGAAUUGGCCAAACUCCACAAUUUUGAAAAUGUCAAUUUUUUCAUAGAAAUUGACUAUAACUUUCAUCCUUAACAUGAAUAAUGUGAAACUCUUGAACGGAGAUAUCGGCUUUAUCCAAUUAUGAGAAUACAAAAGUGUGAAUAAAAUAUAAAAUUUCAAUUUUGAUAGCAUCUUUCAAAUUCUAUCCCCACUAUCUAUUCAAAAAACACUAUCAAGUCACCUCUUUUGAUACUUGCUUUUAUUUUAGAAAAAUACCUUUUCUAUAAUCUACAUUAAGGUAGAUGCGAAUAGUUGAAAUCAUCUUUUACCGGUGCAUUUCAAAUUGAUAAUGAGGAAAAACUCAUAUAAGAAAAAAUGAAGAAUGAUAGUGUUGAUUAAAAUUCUUAUCCGAUCAUGAUAUGGAUGCCGAACCUCUAAGGUCAUCAAACAUUUUACAACUGAUCCUUGAAAGUUACAAUUGGCUAAGUUUAGGUAUGACCAAAAUAGGUGGUUCGGAACAUUGUGAUUUCUUCAGUUGAAGUUUGUAGUCUUUAUUGAGAUUGUGUGCGCUCCCAGAUUUUAAGUUGUGGAUAGGUUAAUGUUUUACAACCAAGCUAAGAUUCUGAAAAAAUGACAUAUAUUAAAAAACACAAGUUAAAAAAUGAUUCAUAUAUGUGUCAUAUCCAGUUUGAUACAUAUGUUAAAUAUAUCAAAUAUUUAUAUAAGUAUUAGUACGUAGACUGUUUUUUUAUUAUAUGGAGUAUAAAAAUAUGAAUCAUUAUCAAAAUAUAUCAAAAAUAUGUAUCACCAAUAAAACAGCAGCAAAUGUAUCAAAGUAUUUAUCAAUAUUAUAUUAACAAAAUGUAUCAAAAGUUAACAUUAUAUAUGUAUCAAGAGAAAAAACACUAAUGUAGUACAAAAGCAAAUAUAUCAACUAUAUGUAUCAACAUUAUAUCUUUUACCUAAUUCUAGGGAAAUUAGGGAUUUUCUCUAAUUCAUCCUGAUCUGUCAUGUGCAUAUCCAAGUCCUAAGUUUUUGCAGCAUAAUUUUCUAUAAGUUUCUUGAUCUUUCGGUGUCAUUAUGGUGCUUUCACCUAUUUUCACGAAAAUCUUCAGGGUGAAUCUUCAUUAAUCAUUGAAGACUAAAAAAGAGAAAUACUACAGUAAAGUGUAUUGUUAAAGUAAACUCUAAAAUAGUUACUUAAAAUCUACCUAAAUAAUUCACUCACCUAUCAAAAAUAACUAAAAAAAAAUAGAAUCGAAAAAAAUUGCUUGUGGGCAAUUGUUGGAGGUUGCAGUAAUUGUGGUAGAAAUUUCAACUGGGAUAAACUGAAGACUUUCUUGGGAUGAAAAAUUUUUAAAAAUAAAAAACAUGAUUUCAUCUGUUAAUGGUGGAGUGUAAAUCGAAGAAAAGCUUUGUUUAUAUGUAAAGAGCAAAAUAUGAAAAUCGAGAUUUUAAGUAAUUUUUUAAAAGGUAAGAGAUUUUAUGUACAAAUCACUCUUAAGUUUGUGUAAUUUUUCAUAAUAUUUAUCUUUUUUGUUAUUUUUUAAAAACUUUUUCUCUUAUAUCUUAAUGGUGAAAAAAGAAAUUUGGAGGAAAAUUGAACAGACACCUGAAAUAAAAGGUCACCUUUGUUAUAAGAAGUUACUUCUUAUAUCCGCUGCUUAGGGCUUCUUUUCUUCCUUCCCAUAUGCCUCUUCUUCUUUUCCUCUGAAAAAGAUAAAUUCACAAAAUCAAAAAAUCAUAGAGAACUAAUUCAUUUUUCUUUAAGAUUUAAGAUGAAAACUUUUUUAAGCGAUGGAAUACCACUGUAAAAAACUUCUAUAAUAGUUCUAUUCUUAUUGGGGAUGAAGGAUAUUUAAGGAGAUUCAAGAAAGAAUUAGAAAUUUGAACCUUCUAUUUUCGCUAUAUAAAGGGUUGCAAUGUUUAAAUUUUGCAAGUAUUUUCAUGGACUGAGAAUAGUUCACAUAAUAGCUUUCAUAUUUGUUUGGUUGUAAGGAUUUGAUUCUGUGAAUUUUUUUCUUUUUAUGUGUUUUGAUUAUUUUACCUCUCUUCAUGGUUUCUAUGUCAUUUUUCAGAGGGUGUGGAGAUGAUUGACACGAUUCUUAAUGCAUUUUGAAAUGAUUUAUGCGAGUUUGUAAUUUUUAGAGGUUAAAAAGGCAUUAUAGUUGAUUUUGAUCGAUAUUUAUCGUUCUAUGCAUUGAAUGACAAAACGGAUUGCGCCAGCAAAUUCAGAGCACCUAUUUUGGAUUGAUAUCAUCGUUGGUUAGAUUUUAUGAAUUUUAGAUCUCAUUUCGAUCCUUGAUUUUGAAAAUAAUAAAAUUGAGUCUUGGAGGUCAAUCUUGUGAAAACAACUUUUUUUUUAAAAUCUGGUAUCGCCAUUGAGUCUGGAACGUCGAAUUUAGUCUAGUAGCAUAUUUUGUUUCCCUUCACGAAAUUUUGAAUGAAUUUCAAGGGCUUCAUCCACAACUUUACAAUUUUAGCAACGUUGUUGAUACACAAUAACCUAGUGCAGAUGCUUUAGCAGUCGACUCGUGCUAAAGCGGUGACCGCUUAAGCGGUCAAUUGACUUGGAGUUGGGUCACCUUAAAUAGUGGUCUCUCAAUUUUUCUUCUAUUGUUGAGACUUGGAGCUUUGAGUUAAGAGAUUUUUGGAUUAUUUCUUCAAUUUUCGAGCUUGGAUAAGCUCCAAAUAACUAUUCAAUUAUUUUACUUCGACUCUUUUCAUCUAAAAACUCGUUAAAAUGUUGUCUCAAAAGUGAAAUUUGGAAAUUUUUUCCUGAAAAUCCUAAAAUGAUCCCUUUUUUUAAUUUAACUCUCAUUUUUUAUCCUUUUUCACUUAGAUUUUCUUCUAUUGCUUCCUUUAAUCAUGGGUAAAGUGUCUAUAACCUAAAAUUUUGAUUCUACCUUUAAAAACUCAUUUCGGGGUCCAUUUUGACCCUGAUUUGAGAAUCGAGAAUGUGAAUAUCGUUGGCUUUCUUUCAAUGUGUAGAUUCUAUAUUUUUAUAUUUUCGUUAAUUUUGAUGUUGUUCGGGAGGAGAGAAGCUCCGCAGAGGGAUUUUAAUUUAGGCUUGAAUUUUAUCAUCUUGGCGUAGGUUAUCGCUUAACUUUCUUCAGACUGGGUUGGGUAAAUAUUUAUGUAAAAGCAUAUUAUUGGUAUUGAUAAUAAUCAUAAAAAUAUUAUUAUAACUAUUGUGUGCUUAUGUGGGGACUUAUAUUGUUGUUGCUAGUUGUUUGAGAUAAUAUUUACUGCAUAUGGCACGUGUAAGGGUCUUAUCUGGACUUGUGUAUUUAGUUGGUUGCCCUUUUCAUGAUAGAAUACCUAAGUUGGGUUUAAGUGAUAUAAUUGAUGUGUUACUUGAAUAUUUCACUCUAAUGGUACAUUGUUUAUUCAUAAUCAUGGUUGAUUGAUAUAUUAAGUGGAUUGUGGGCUCACAUAUACAUUUAUUGAAUGAAUUUUGAUAUCUUCAUAUUGGGUUGGUUGUGAGCAUUACAUUCUCAUAUCAUACAUACAUUCAUGAGAUAUUGGUAUCAUUGUGGAAAUACUAAUUUUGACAGAAAUGAAAUAUUUUUACAAAAUCCUCUGUAGUAGCCCAUAAGUCAGAAAGGUCAUAUGAAUAUUGAGAUUGGGAUUGAUUUUUGAGAUAGUAUAUGAGUUUCGAAAACCCCAUGGGUCCUACCUAGAGGUGUUGAGGCUCGAUAGAUGUAUACAGAGGUUGUACGAUAAUCUCAGCCAUAUCACAUCAUUAUUGCAUUUCAUAUAUUAUGCAUCUUUAGUAUUGUGUUUUUAUGCUUAGUUUAAUUCAUAUCUAUUCUGCUUCUUUUAUGUAUCUAUUUUCUUGCUUAUGUGUUAUAUUUAGAACUGAUAGUGGAGACGAUGUGAGCUAUCGUUUGGGACAUUUUCUAGCUGCAACUGAUGAGCUCAUAGUAUAUAUUUAUGUAUCUUAUUUUCUACUUUUCUCAGUCGGCCUAUAAUACCUACUAAGUAUAAGUGGACCGUAUUCAUCCCUACUGUGCCCUUUUGGUGCAUAUCCAGGUAUGAAUGUGCCAUGCAGUAGCUGAGCUCGUGCAGGGAUUUAGACACGUUUUGGCCACUCUACACCUUUAGAGACGAUCUUAUAUCUCCUCCUACUAAUUUAUAUCUUAUUUUGUAUUCAAAGACAGACUUGUGGUUGCUUUUUGGGAUUUCAGUUGUAUUUUCAGAUUUUGAGUUGUAUUUAGAUUGUUCUUACACUGUGAAAAUUGAUAUCCAAACUUCCGUUAUUAUUAUAGAUAUAUGGUUCAACUUCAUUCUAGAAGUUUCGCCCUGAAAUUUGUGUUGUGUUUUUUCUUUUAUAUAUCAGUUUGGGUGAUUGACUUACUUGUAAAAUCUUAAACGCGAUAAGUACCAUCAUGACUCAAGUUUUUAGAUCGUGACAAUGGUAUGCCUAUACCAAAUUCACGUGCAUUUGUUGUUUAAUAGGUAUAUUUUUUUGGCAUGUCAAAAAAAUGUACAUUUAUUUAGUACUAAUAUUAGUCGUGUUUUUCUUCUGAUUUUACGGCUCAAUUAAACUAAAAGGUACUGCUUUCAACAUUCCCAAAACACAUAAAUUCUCACUUAGUGAAACUACUUACAUAAAAUCUCUUAAUGCUUUCUCUCUCCCGGAUUAGGUAAAUAUACUCAUGCAUUCGGUAGUCCCUCAUACAUAGUUCAACUGUAUGAUAAAACUGUUAAUCCUAUAUUUAAGAUAAGAUAAAUCAGAUAUUAUCCUUCAGUUCCUUAAUUUACGCCAUUAAUUAGCUAACAUUAAGUAGUGUAUGAUUAAAAAUAGUAACUGAAAUUUAAAUUCAAUAUUUUCUUUAAUGUCACAGUAAAGUCGUAUUCUUUGUAGCAGCCAAAAGAAAAAUCUUCUACUGCGUUAUUCAAUUCUCUAAAAAUCAAUAUGAACAUCCUAAAUAUUAUUGCAACAUUCAGGUAUUUGGGAGUCAGAAAUUAGUUAUCAAUCCUACAAAAGUGACGCAAUUAUUAUUUCGAAAAGUAUAAUAUCAUUAACAUUUUUUUUACAUCUCGCCGUUAAAAAAAUAGUAACUGAAAUUCAAAUUAAAAAUAUAUCUUAAAUAUCACAAUUAAUUUUGUUCUUUGUUGCAUUACGUUCUGGGGAAAAAAGGUCCACCUGCUUUCUUCAAUUCUCCAAAAAAUCAAUAUGAACAUCCUCAUAUUGUUGCGUCAUUAGGGUAUUUGGGAGUCAAAAAUUAUUUAUCAAUCCUACAAAAGUGACGCAAUUAUUGUGUUAGAAAGUAUAACCUUCUUAUACAAAUGAGUACAUAAUCUGAACCAAUGUAUAAUGAAAUCUUAUACAUAGAAGCAGAAAGACAAAACAAAAAAAAUAUACAACAGUCACACAUGUAUGUGUAAACCUUAUACAAUUAAUGAUAUAGUAUUAAUAUAUGUAUAAUAAAAUCUUAUACAUAGAAUCAUACUGCCAAAACAAAUAAAAGACAACCACAUACAACAGUUUCACAUGUAUGUGUAAACCUUAUACAAGUAAUAAAUAUAAUCUAAUACUAUUUUCACAUGCAUACGAACACCUUAUACAUCACUAUAUAAUCUUAAAAAAUGUAUAAAGAAAUCUUAUAUAAAGAAUAGUUGUUAAUACAUACUUUAAUGAUAACUAAACCUUCGGCAGACGUGAUUGUCCAGAAUCAUUAACCUUUUUCUUACUUGACGAUUUUAGAGCUUUCUUAUUUGAACUUGAACCGGCAACUUCCCUCAACUUCUUCAUUGUUACUGAAUCGUUUCGGUGCUUCGAACAGUUCUCUGCGAAAUUGGGUUCUUCAUAAUAAAAAGAACCAGGAACGAAAGCAACAACGAGAAUAACAAUACGCAAGCAGACUCCAUUGAAAAAAAAUUUAUACUUUACUGGUUAACCAAUUUCAAAAAAAUAGCAAAUAAAGAAAAGUUCGAAAAUUAUAAUAUCAUUAACAUGUUUUUUUUACAUCUCACCGUUAAACUCAAAACUUUGCUAACCCUCAUACGUCAUUAACAAUGGUGAAAAUUAAAGCUCAAACAAAGAAGCAGCAAAAACGUGGUGUUGAUUUCAAAGUAAAUAUAUAUUUGUCAAUAGAUUCGUGACAAUUAUUUUCUAAUCAUUCUUUGAUUUUUGUUGAACUGAGUUUUUUUUUUUUUCAGAAAAUAAAAAGGAAGAGGUGAACUUUGUUCAGUUAAUGAUUGAUAACUGAACAAUUUAAAAUUCCUCAUAUCACGCUAGCUUGAUUUUAGGCGUAAAUGAAGGAGCACAAAUAUAGAGCAAAAAUUGGUGCACUAAAAUAGGAGAAAAAAAUGGUAUUUUGAUAUAUAUGAGGGGAUGAGAGAGAAAGAGUAAAUUUAAGGGAUUUAAGUAAUUACUUAAAAAAAAUUUAUUUUUUUUGGGGUGAAUUUAGUAGCUUAAUUGGUUAGUUGCCUGAACUUCCACCUUGUUGGUGAGGGUUCGAUUCUCACAUUGUAAUCCCCUUUCCCCUACCCCCAAUUUAAAAAAAAAAUUAAAAUUUUUUUGUAAUUUCUUAUCCAAUAUGAGUUUUAUGUAAUAAGGUAAAGUUUAUGUAAUUUUUAGAAGAAAAAAAAAACUAUUUUAUUUCCAAAGCCCCAAAAGCGGAGAAUGAAUAAAUAAAUGGGUCCCUUCCAAUUCCAUAUCAUCUCAUUGUUUUGGGUAGAUCUCAUGGGUAGAAAUCGACUACCUGACGGAUGCAUACUGCCUGUGCUCCGAGCCGGCAUUUCUUCCUCGCCUCAAAACACCCAUGGGAUGAAUAUGCAUGGUACCUACUUAGACUCUCAUGCUCCCUUCAAGUGAUUAAAGUUUGUUCGUUUUACAUCAUUAUGUUGUUUUCUUUGGAAUUAGCAAAAUUUAACUUGAGUCUGUUCUUAUACUACAUAGAAUAUUACAUAUUUAUUUGUAUGUCUCUCCUAACAGUAAAGUAAUCAUAUCCACCCUUCAUCAAUUUAGCAGCUUUGGAUGAGCAAGAAUCACUCUCCGGUGUAAAUUCUAGGGGAAAUAGGGUGUUGCCGAAACUCAAAGUAACUGAUGUUGUAAUGAAUAAGUUUAAGGUUACAUUAAUCUGACAUAAAUGAAUUAUCUACAAAUUAGCCUUCUGUCUUAUCUUUUGCAUCCAAUUUAAAAUACCACCAGCAACUCAUAGCAAUUCCACAACAAUACAAUUUUAUUUUUGAAACUGUAGUGCAAAACACUACUUACUGCUAGAUGUCGAUAGCCUGAUUUAAUUCAGUUUUAAUUAUACUUGUGGAAUGUUCAUUUGAUCAAUUACUUAGGUUAAAUUUUGUUUCGAACAUCACUUUCCACUUUGGCAUUACUUCAUAGGAGACCUUAGUAAGUCAAAUUAUGAUUUUUAGUUAAAUUUGUCAUCUGGGUAACUGCUAUUGUGUUGUUGUUUUUCCAACAAUGGAUAGAACUCAAUCCUGAAUCUAAUAUAAGAUCCAUCUGUUUAAACAGAUAAAUCAUCUAUUACGACAGAUGAGACAUCUGUUUCAAUGGAAGACUGAUAUGUUGGAUUCAUGUUUAAACAGAUGGGUCAUCUGUUGCAACAUUUGACACAUCUGUUGAACAGAUUAGUUAUCUGGUGCGAGAUGAUAAAUAUCUGUUUCAACAGAUUAGUAACCUAUUGCAACAGAACCUGAACACGAUUCCAAUAUAAGUGUUGUCUGUUGCAAUAGGGUAAAUAUUUGUUACAACAGAUUACUAACCUAUUACAACAGAUAAGUCAUCUAUCGCAACAGGUUAAUUAUCUGUUGCAACAUGUCACUCAUCUGUUGGAAUCAGCUUUAAAGGUGAUUUAGUACUGUAACAUCAAUCCCAAUAGGCGCUUCAUUUGUUGUAAUAGAUAUUCAGGAGCGUAACAUGAAUCUCAACAGGUAAGUAAUCUAUUGCGACUGAUCACUUACUUGUACACAUAUGUUGGGAUUCAUUCACGGCAUUAUGAAAUCACUAUUCACUUUUUUUAAUAAAUGACUUUAUUUAGGUACCACUAAUGGAGGAAUCAAUAACAAUUGGGGUGGAUUGUCAUGUUCAAUAGAUCAAGAAGAGCAAUCGAUUUGUAUGGCAUUGGAAGAAGGAUGAAAUGCUAGAGAUAAUAGCUAUGAUAGUCCAAAGUGAUGUUUCGUAUGAUGAUUUUGUGAACUUAAUCAACAAUUUUUGUGGACUGAAUUGUCAACCGAAAGAAUUCGCCAUCAGCUACAUGUCCAGCUCUUUUGAAAAUCAGAGGGUACUGCCUUUCAAGAUAACCGGUCAGGUUCGGUUACGUGCUUAUCUAAGUGAUUCAACCAGGUCGGUGUUAAGGGUGUACAUGGUUGAAAAGACGAGAGAGAAUGCGAACCAGAAUGUAGAAGUAGAAGAACAAGAAGACUUCUUUGAUGAUAGGUUGGAUGAUCUAGACAUGAAUAUUUCAGAUGAUGAUCAAACACCUACGCCCGUUGAUGCGACCAAUACGAUGUGCAGUUCUUCUCAAUUGAUACAGUCUGGAAAUCUUCAAGACGAUGAGAUCAAGCCUAUUUAAUGGGUGAUCUCUGAGUGUACUGAUAAUGAAUAUGAUUGUCUAAAUCUGAGAUCAAGCUUAUAUAACGGGUGAUCUAUGAGAGGUAGUCAAGACUACUAUAACGGGUGACUCCUCAACUGAAUUCUAUUACUGAGACUGAAUCUGAAACUGAGACUAUGGGAAAUAGUCAUCUAACCGACAUGCCCCUUUCGCUUUUUUGGGGUCCAACCUGUAAACCCAGUUAGAAGGGUGUCAGUGCCGUGCCAUAGGUAAAGACACUUCUCUCUGAACCCAGGAUGCCAUGCCUAAUAUAAUGGGUGACACCUGAUUUGAGCCAAGCCUAAUAUAACGGGUGACUUCGGAGAGGUAGUCAAGCCUAAUAUGAUGGGUGACUCCUCAUCCUGCACUAGCUAUGUAGUUCUGGAGUUCAAGGAUUGUUAUUAACGACUCUGCCUAAAAUAACGGGAAAGUCGUCAUCCCUGCCCUCGCUCGGUGCUGAAUCCUACUCCCAACUGAAUAGACACUGAACUGAUUCUUAGACUGUUCUAGACUGAGCUGAAUCUAUUACUGAUUAUCUUACUUGACUGAUCUGACUGAGUUUUCUUGGUUACAUUGACUGACGAAAUACUACUGAGGUCUGAAUUGAAUACUGAACUUGAUUAGACUGAAUACUGAGAUUACUGAGUUUUCUUAAUAUUUUGACACUGACUGAAUUCUACUGACCUUAGUACAACUGAGAUUAUCUUGAGACUAACUCAUCUCUAGACGAGCAGCUAAGUUUUUGGAUAUAAAUACCCCCAGGACUCGAUAGUAUAAAUAAAUAAGAUAGGACCACACUUGAAUAUCAUGACAAUGGACUUUCAUUUACAACACAAUCAAUACGAUAUCUCAUCAGUCACUUGAAUGUCAUAAACAUGUAAAUGUAUAGGGUAUACAUAUUAAUAUCUCAUAAUUAUUCAAUAAGGAAUAUACAUGGAUAAGAAUGCAUGCAACUUAUCAUAAUACAUUCACUAAGGCAGUUCAACAAAUGUUUGGUAUGCACUAGUUAUCACAUAAUUGGGGAUUUCAUGAUUAACAUACUAAAAAGGCACUAUUCUCUUUACUUAAGCAUUCUAUCAAACAUAUGGGGAACAUGCUUUGGUUAUACCACAGAUUCUAUACUUAAUUAUCAUGAAUACAUCAAUACCAUGCAAUUUGAAGGGAUUUUAUCAUGAACAUCACAUAGUAGGAUCAAAGCUUAGAUCUUUGAAAUCAAAUCAUGAAUUAAAACUCAUCAACAACAUGAACUUCAAUUUAUAUUCACAAAAAUCAUAACAAUCUCAUAAAUAUAUAAUCUUGAAUUUAGAAAAGAAUUCUUGAACUUCAUGGGUGAAAGAAACCCAAGAAUCAACAUCUAACAUACCUCAAAAUCUUGAAUCUUGAAAGAUAACUAACAUUUCUUGAACGUUCUUGGAUUAGGAAACACGUAUUUUGAUGUUUUCUUAAUGGUUCUGGAACUUGAAGAACUUGAAUUUCUUAGUUUUCUUAAGAAGGGUUUGGAUCUUGUUCUUGAGUUUUGAUCUUGAAAGAAACCCUAAUUUUGAUGUUAUGGAUGAAUGAGGAGUUAUGUGCUUUGAUUUGACGUGAUUGGGUGUUAAAUAGAGUGAAAAAAAAACCCAAAAAUCCCUUUAAAGUGGUGUUUCAGCGCUGUUUCGAACAAAACUGACGGUCUGAGUGAUAGACCGUCACUCUGGUGACUGACCGUCACUCCAACUGUCAUUUUUGGGCCAGAAAAUGGCCUCACUACUUUAGCUGCGAUGGCCAAAGCGACGGUCCGUCGCUGAUUUGACCGUCGCUCCUGGACAGCUCAGAUAGCUCUCAGUAAAAUGGCCAUAAAUUUUUACUCCGAUACCGAAUUUUGGAAAAAUUGAUAUCAUUGGAAAUCUAAUUCAAUUAUAUAUCUGUUGGUGGGUCAUUAGAUCAAAAAUUCAUAGUAUAACAAAAUAUAUGCUCAUUUGAAGUUGACUAUACCAAAAUCCUUCUCAAGAAUUCAAUCGGUAAGGGAUGUUUUGAUUUGUCUAAUAGAUAGGACGUAUUUAAGGCAUUAAUAUACAUCAAAAUUGAUCAUAAAACUACCAAAUCACUAAGAUUUAUUUCUCAUAAGCUUGAAGCAUGGUUCUACUAUCGGUUGAGAUUCUCAGGGUAUUACAAUAUCUCCCACUUAGGAACAUUCGUCCUCGAAUGUCGCUUGUUAAGCUAAGAGUACUGAUCGACCAAACUUUCUUAAGGGAUGUAAACAUUUGAAACAUGACUAUAAAACUAAUACUACUGACAGACUAAGAUUUUAUGCCGGAUAUGCAUAUUUGAUGCAUGGAAUACUCGACCGUAGCUACUCAUAAGCUGAAUUCUCAUAAAGAACAUGCAUAUAUGAUGCAUGGAUACGUGACUGAGUUAUUUUCAUAAAAGACUUUCUAAAAUUUCUGAUAAGCUGAGCUUCUUCUACUGAGCAUGCAUAUCUAAUGCAUGAAUGCCUGACUGAACUGACUCUUAAAAGCAUGACUGAGUAUGCAAUGAUAUCUGAUGCAAAGCUUGUAAUGAGGAUCUGAGCAUGAAACUGAAUGGGUUUAAGAAAUGGAAAAUAUCGGGGAGUUAUAGGGUAUCUCCCCCUUGGGACACUAUGUCCCUCUAAGAACACUUACUUCACUAACAUACUUGAGAAAAUUGAGGCGAUGCUCAAGGCACCUACGAACUGGAUCAUAACUGAACCUCAGGAAUCUGAAACUAAUGCAUGACUCAUGAACUGAACUUAUCUUGCAACUACUAGGAUUUUCUUCCUUGAAAUAGUUAUCUUUUCUUAAGAUUUCGAAUAGAAUGAUUAGAUAAAAAGAUGAGAAAACAAACUAUAUGAAUCUGAUUGUCUGAUUGCUAAACUGACUUGCUGGCUUUACUAACUAACUCAUGCUGAAACUUAUACUUAACUGAAGUACUUCUUCUGCACUCUUUCAACUAUACUCUCCUCUUUAUCUCCAAUUCAUCAACAUAAGUUUGUGAAUACUUUACUAAACUCUGAACUGAACUACAAUCAACCUACUCUUGAGUAUGGGGUAUAAUAAUACACAUGAAUGAUAAACUCAUCCGGAAAGUCUGCACCUAAAAUUAUAAAACUCACUGCUAAUACUAACUUCUGGAAUAAAAUUCUUAACAUUCUAUAGUUUCUGUAACCAUCAUCACAUACAUACACCCCUUUUAGAGGGCCAAAUCCACACGGCAAGAGGUGGACCGAGGCAAAGAGGAUUCUUGCAUCCAUUAGCGUGAAUGACCAUUAUCGCGCUGUUGAGAUACUACUCGAGGAGAGAAAUAUCAAUGUUUAUGACUGCAACAAACCUCUCAUUGAUGAUCUCAAUCUUUUUCUCCUCGUGAAGCCACUGAUGGAGCUAUUGCAUAUCUUAUUGAGGGAGAGUAAACUAAUGAAUCAUUUGCCAAAGGAAGUGUUGAUGAAGAAACAAUGGGAUUUUGAAGGUUGAAACAAGGACAUGAGCCUUCCAAAAAAUAAGACCGAUAACGCGUGCAACUCGCACGCUCUUGCACACAUCGAAUGUUUGCUGACCAGUACAAAAAUGGUCGAGCCAACGACCUUUUUAUGCUACAACAUUGUGGCAAACCUGCAAGAGGUCUGGGCUUAUGCAGUACUAACUGGACGUUUGGAGCUUAUGUAUAUAGAAGAGCCUAUGAAAUAGCAAUUUUUAAUUUCAAGUCACCCUUUACUUUAUUACAUGUACAUGUAGUGGCAAUAAUUUUUCUGAUAAAAGUUGAGUUUUUAUAAUGCAAUAGAUUGUCAAUCUAUUGUAAAAUAUAUUGAAUUUGUUCUAGCAGAUAGUUUAUCUAUUGCAAUAGGUUGGUCAUCUGUUGUAUUAUGCCGAUGUUAUUUCUAUGUAAUUUAAGUCUAAUCUGUUGCAACAGUAGGAAGACCUGUUUGAUAAUUUCCAACAAAUGACCUAAAUUUUACAACAUAUGCCUAAAUCUUUUUGAUAUUCUCCAACAGUUAGGCUUGAAUAUCCAUGUGUUCGACAACACCAAAUUAGUAGCAAAUACACACACCACCAUGAAAAUUUCAGCAAUUAGGUUUGAAUAUCCAUGUGCCCAACAACACCAAACCAGUUGCAAUAACGACAACAAUGCAGUAUCUUCUUGCUCGAUUUUGUUUCUCUUUAGAAGUCUUGACUUUGUUCAACAAAUCCAAGAUUACACAAUUUGCUUGUGAAGGGUGUCGUUCUUUAUACCAAUCAAAGUAAUCACAUCCAUCCAAUUUUUAUAAAAACAAGAACACAAUUACAAAAUAAUUACAAGUCAAUAAUUAGUCAACUAAUUAAAUAAAAAGAAUAUUACCUUUAAAAUCUUACAAGAAAAAACCUACAACCUGGAUUUCGUUGAGUCCAAGAAGUCUUUUACAGAGUUUCAUGACCACACUUAUAAUAUCAAAAAUCUUUAUCACAAAAAAUAAUGAAAGAUGCGCUCGACAUUGUCAAGCUCAGUUGGAAAAAAUGAAAAAAAAUAAAGAAAAGAAAGACCAAAUAUAAAUAAUUUGAAGAAUUUGGAUAGAUAAAAGAAGAUGACGAUGAAGAAAAAGAUUUGGAAAUUUAGGGUUAAAUUUUAGGAGGAACAUGAAUAUAUAAGACAAUGGGGGGAAAUGACUGUUGGGAGCCAAAUGACAGCAAGUCAGCAAAAAGUGUCAAACUGACACAUUUUAUGCCUAUUUUAUUUUACGUGUUUAAAAUAAACACUAUCUCCUUGAUGCCUAUUUUAUUUUAGGUGUUUGAACUUAAUACUGUCGAUAGAUUCUGCCUUUUUUAUUUUAAUUCACUUUAACUUUUUUAAACGUAGUGGCAAUUUUUUAUGUCCAACGAAAGUUGAAUUUUUAUAAUGCAACAAAUUCUCCAUCCACUGUAACAGUUAUUCUACCUGUUCUGACAUAUAGUUUAUCUAUUGCAAUAGGUUGGUCAUCUGUUGCAUUAUCUCGAUGUUUCUAUUUAAGUUCAUUUGUCACAACAGUGGGAAGACCUAUUUGAUAAAUUCCAACAGAUUACCUACCUGUUGCAACAUAUGUCUAAAUCUGUUUGAUUUUUUCCAAUAAAUGUCUCGUCUGUUGCAACGGAUACAUUAUCUGUUGCAAUAUUUGAAUCUAGUAUUCCUUUUCAAUUAAUAAGUUCAAAUCUAAGAAAAAAAUAAAAUUCAUAGACAAAAUAAAAUAAAUCAAAGCCUUCAGAAAUUAGCUGAAAUAAGUCAACGAAUAAAUAAAAUAUAAAAAAAUUGUUAUGGAUACAGAUCUCAAUAAAUACAUCAACAAUAAUUUAAGUAUGAUGCCAAGGAUUACUUUGACAGGCUCAAGCUAUAAAGAUCUACUCAAUAUGAACAAGUUGUUUUUCAUCUGGUGCUAUAGAAUUCGGCUCUGCUCGUCGUGGAUCUUUAUUGUCACUUACAUACGAUUUCUGUGCUUUUUGUUCUCCGUAUUUCCAUAAAAAGAGUAGUAUGUUGUCAAUGUUGUUCAGCAGUAGCUUCUACAUCCACCUAGAAAGCUAGAAUUGGUCAAUGCUAAUUACGAAGAUACAACAAAACGAAAAAGGAUAACUCAUAUGUUCUAGCAAAUCAAAUAGGUUUUUCUCUUAUUUUAAAUUAUCCCAAAUAGAUUAUAUUUCUGUUGCAAUAAUGAAUCAACUAUUGGGACAAAUUUCUACAUGAGAAAGACCUGUAUGAUAAUUUCCAACGGAUGAACCAUCUGUUGCAAUAUAUGAAUCAUCUGUUGCAUCAGAUAGGUCAUCUGUUGGUACAAAUCAAAGCGGUAUAAAGAGCUGUUUGAUUUGAUAAAAUAGAUAAGACAUAUGUCGUAAUAGAUACUUUAUCUAGUGCAAUAAGUUAGUCAACUGUUGUAAUAAAUGUAUAUAUUUGUUUGAUAAUUUUCAGCAGAUGUGUCAUAUGUUGAAACAGAUAUGUGUCUGUUUGUUUUGUUAGUUGGAAGACAUAUAUAUUCACCUUCUUCAGCUCGUGCUUCUCUCAUUUGGAUAUUGUACAUUGCUCAGUGCAACACACAGACAAAGGAGUUAUAAUUUCUCUUUUUUGGACGCUUGAUAUUUCCAUGGAAAUCACUUUUCUUUUCCUCUUAGCCCUAAUCUCUAAUGGAGAGGAUGAAAAUAAAAUCAUCUUUAAUGGAAUGAUACCUCUCUUAGAUGUCAAUUCCUUUACAGAAGCUGUUAAUGUAUUAAUAGCAUUAAUCGCUACGUCAUGUUUCACCCUGCAGUCUUGACAUUUGAAUGCAGAACAUUCGCUGGGAAAGACAAAAUCUGUAUAACCAGUAUGAUCAUACUCAUAAUGGUUUGCUUUUAAAUACUAUAAGAGUAGCAUCAUUAGCACCAACAGCAGCACCACUACCACCACUAACAGCUCCAUCACCACUAAGACCAUCAACAACAAUAAGCCCACCCUUCAAAAUUAUUUUUCUUGUAAUGAUUGUUGCUCCAAACAAUUCUAUUUUUAUUCUGUCGAUGACCUUAGGGUUUGAUAAAGUUUGCACAGACCGUAAUGUAAGAAAAAAUGGCAUCUUCAACUCUCGAUUGGUCGGAACUAGCGACGGAUGCACAAUCUAACAUAAAUCGUUAUAUAUAUUAGAAUGAUAAUUAGAUCAUUCAAAAAAAUCAUUAAUUAAAAGAAAAAUUAAUUAUAAUUAUACUUAUUGCAUCCUUCGAGGGGUUGAAGAGAUCAAGAAAUUUUAUAUUUUUAUCAGUUUUGACCGACACCUAUCUCAAGAUUCUUGGACAGGAAAAUCCUUCCUGGUAGUUCACUUGUUGUCUCAAGUAAGGAAUGGCUUCAAAUGCCCAAGCCUAUAAAAUAACGCCAAUAAAUCAAAAUCAUUAUUGAAUAAAAAAAUAAAUGGUAUCAUAAUAAAAGAAUGAAACAUUUACCAUGAAAGCCUAUGGGAAGCCAUAUAAGUUGACUGUCUUUGGCGCUAACGGAGUCAACAAAUAUUUGACAGUCAUUUUGAAGCUUUCAUAACCCUAAGGAUAGCUGUUAAACGCCUCAAGACACUCGGAGAGCUUUAUUAAACCUAGGCUUAUGUUGUUGUUAACGUCUCUCGCCCAAAGAAUAUUAUGUACAAACCAAACCAAGCACAAUGACUGCUUGUGCUUCUUUGAAAGUCCUUUACCUUUCAAUGCUUCUAUCAAAUUUUUAUUUUUAAAACUUGGAACAACAAUGGACACCAGGUCAUCACGAUCACACGACUUGCCUUUGCCUUUUUUGAGUGUGCAGGGCACUUUUUUGGUUAGAAUAGGUAUAACUUGAGAAGGAGGAUAACAUUUUAGUCCAGUAACUAUGGUAAACUCCUUCCAACCAAAACAAAUAGGCAUACCACAGUAAUUUAUCCACACCUCAUCCAUCUUAUCUUUGUUUUCAUACAUAAACCUACGCUUGAGAAGUUCAUAUACCAUUUUCAUUUAAAAACGAGCAUUGUUGUCCUCCAACAAAUCAAGAUAUUUCCCAAAGCAGUUGUCCCUGAAAUAAGCAUCCAAUUUUUGUUCUCAAAGUAUUUUUUUGAAGGCAUCGAAAGAUUUUUCCAUGGCUGACUUGACCACAAAAUCACCCGUUAAAUCUGUGGCACCAUCGCACUGCAUUCUCACAGGAUAACGAUCAAUGUUGAAGGCCUUGACCAACUCUUCGGUGGAAGGGCUAUUAGCAUUUGCAUUAUCUCUUUUAAAAUAUUCCUCCUCCCCUUGUUCAUCAUAUUCUGCUCUCGAUUGAGAUAACGCUUGUAAAGCAAGCUCACAGAAUGGUGGAUAUAGCAUAGAUGCUUCACUUAUUCCUUUACUUGGACUUGAUUAGUUUCUAUUCUUUUGGGAACCAUAUUAUCUAUAAUUAACAGAAAAAUAAAAAAAUAUAUUAUAGUUGAUUAAUUCAUUGUUAAAAAGGGAUAACAGUAAAUCAAACAAAUAAAAUAGUAAAAUAACAGUUGCAAUAGAUCAUCGAUCUGUUGUACCAGAUAGUAUAUUUGUUGUAGUAUAUAACUAACCUACUGAAGCAGAUGAGUAAUCUGUUGCAACAAUACAAAAUAUACCACUCAUUUUUUAAGACAGAUGAAUGGUCUGUGCAACAGAUCACAUAUUAUUGUGACAUAUUAGUGAUCUGUUGGAAUAGUUAAAUAACCUGUUACAACGGAUGAGUAAUCUGUUGUGAUAAUACAAAAUAAAUUACUCAUCUAUUGAGAAAAAUGAAUGGUCUGUGAGCAUAUCACACAUCUGCUACAACAUCAUCUAUUGCAACAUAUGAGUGAUCUAUUGGAAUAGUUAAAUAACCUGUAGCAAUGGCUGAAUAAUCUAUUGCGAUAAUAAAAAAUAUAUCACUCAUCUGUUAAUAAAGAUGAAUGGUUUGUGCAACAAAUCACACAUCUUUUGUGACAUCAUCUGUUGCAACAUAUGAGUGAUCUAUUAGAAUAGUUAAAUAACCCAUAACAACGGUUGAGUAAUCUGUUACGAAUACAAAAUAUAUCACUCAUCUGUUGAGAAAAAUGAAUGAUCUGUGCAACAAAUUACACAUCUGUUGCAACAUAUAAGUGAUUUUUCAGAACAGUUAACUAACCUAUAACAAUGGCUGAGUAAUCUAUUUCGACAAUACAAAACAUAUCACUCAUCUGUUGAGAAAGAUGAAUGGUCUAUGUAACAGGCCACACAUCUGUUGCAACACAUGAGUGAUCUGUUGGAACAGUUAUCAAUGGUCAAUAUUAUUUAUAUUUCUUCCAACAUAGGGUUGUCUAUCGCAGUAGAUGAAUGAUCAGUUGGAAAAAUCAAGUCUUGGACAUUUCCUAUUGGAAGAGUUGAUAGAAUUUUAUCCAAGAGGUUCAUAUGUUGCAUCAGAUCAUUAAUAUGAUGGUUCUUCUGUUGCAUCAGAUGGUUAAUUAUUUGCAUCAGAUUUUUAUUUGAUGCUUAAUCUAUUGCAACAUAUGGUUAAUCCAUUGCAUCAGAUAGUUAAUUUGUUGCAUCAGAUGAUUAAUCUGUUGCAUCAGAAUUAUAAUUUGAUGGUUCAUCUGGUUUAUCAGAUGGUUUAUCUGUUACAUCAUAUGACAAAUCUGUUGCAUCAGAUGGUUAACCAUCUGUUUUAUCAGAUGGUUAAAAAAUAGUAGCACAAUUUUGUUCAACAAAAAAACAGUAAUAUCACCAUUUUUACCAAGAACAAGAACAGAACAAAUUUAUCCAAAUUGUUGUUUUGUUUUUAUAAACAAAAAUAAUAAAAAUCAAACUUCAAAAAAAUGCAACAAAAAACAAAAAAAAAAACAUAAUUCACUUCGAAAAGAGAAGAGAAGAAAUACCAUAAAUAGGGUUUUAUUUAGACCGCAUUUCAAAUUAUUGCAACAAAUAUUAAAAUUGUCAACCAAUACUAUAAGAGAAGUUGGCUCAAGUUACUCGUUUUCUUCAAAACUAAAAAGGCCAUAAAUUUUUACCUAUGAAAGAAUAAAAAGAACGAUGAAGAAUUCAAAGUUGUUGUGGCCGGAGAGCAAGGCUGUCACGUCGUUUGAAGGUUGAAGUCAAAAAGGAAAUCGAAGCCUAACUAUUUAUAGUUGGAUGUUGAAGAUUCCAAGUUCCUAGUUCAAGAACUCCAAGAACCAUCAUUCAAAGGCACGAUUAAUAACUCAAAAAUGAGUAUCGAUCUAAAGUUCAUCAUUCAAGGUAUGUGGGGUUUUUCAACAAGAACUCUCUUUCGUUCUUGUGCCCAAAAGUAAUUUUCUUUACAAAGGCAUGAUUUUUAUUUGAUUUUUAUGAAUUUGAAGUAUGAACCCAUAUCUUAUGAUGAUUAUUAUGAAAUCUUGAUGUUUAUGAUUUUNNNNNNNNNNNNNNNNNNNNNNNNNNNNNNNNNNNNNNNNNNNNNNNNNNNNNNNNNNNNNNNNNNNNNNNNNNNNNNNNNNNNNNNNNNNNNNNNNNNNNNNNNNNNNNNNNNNNNNNNNNNNNNNNNNNNNNNNNNNNNNNNNNNNNNNNNNNNNNNNNNNNNNNNNNNNNNNNNNNNNNNNNNNNNNNNNNNNNNNNNNNNNNNNNNNNNNNNNNNNNNNNNNNNNNNNNNNNNNNNNNNNNNNNNNNNNNNNNNNNNNNNNNNNNNNNNNNNNNNNNNNNNNNNNNNNNNNNNNNNNNNNNNNNNNNNNNNNNNNNNNNNNNNNNNNNNNNNNNNNNNNNNNNNNNNNNNNNNNNNNNNNNNNNNNNNNNNNNNNNNNNNNNNNNNNNNNNNNNNNNNNNNNNNNNNNNNNNNNNNNNNNNNNNNNNNNNNNNNNNNNNNNNNNNNNNNNNNNNNNNNNNNNNNNNNNNNNNNNNNNNNNNNNNNNNNNNNNNNNNNNNNNNNNNNNNNNNNNNNNNNNNNNNNNNNNNNNNNNNNNNNNNNNNNNNNNNNNNNNNNNNNNNNNNNNNNNNNNNNNNNNNNNNNNNNNNNNNNNNNNNNNNNNNNNNNNNNNNNNNNNNNNNNNNNNNNNNNNNNNNNNNNNNNNNNNNNNNNNNNNNNNNNNNNNNNNNNNNNNNNNNNNNNNNNNNNNNNNNNNNNNNNNNNNNNNNNNNNNNNNNNNNNNNNNNNNNNNNNNNNNNNNNNNNNNNNNNNNNNNNNNNNNNNNNNNNNNNNNNNNNNNNNNNNNNNNNNNNNNNNNNNNNNNNNNNNNNNNNNNNNNNNNNNNNNNNNNNNNNNNNNNNNNNNNNNNNNNNNNNNNNNNNNNNNNNNNNNNNNNNNNNNNNNNNNNNNNNNNNNNNNNNNUAAUAAGUCAUAUUUUGUUAUCUUUCUGAAAUUCUUUUAUUCUUGGAUGAUGAUUACUCUGUUGAUAUUUGAGGGUUAUUUAUGGAAACCCCGUUGAUUUGUGCUGAACUGAAUGAAAAUGGCUCAAAGGAUUAGCUUGGGGCUACUCGUAGCCUCAAGCACCGUGUGACGCUCCGGGACCUGUUUUCCGAGGUGUUACAUUUAGUUAGCCAAAUUAGUUAUUUUUUUGAUAAAUCAUUUUUAAACGGACUCUCCUAAGUGCCUUAAAAACCUGCUUAGGACGUUAAUUGAACCCUUACUCAGUUUUCUCUUAAAUUAAAGAUUUGUUUCUAUUUUUGAAUCUUUGAAAUCUCUUUAAGUUUUUUCUUGAUAUUUUUUAUAAAAAUCAAGUGGCGACUCUAUAAACUUUUCAAAAUUUUCUCGAAUUUUUUGAAAUAGUUUUAAAAAGUCGAAACCAUUUUUUUAAAAUUUAAAUCCUUAAAACAAAAAUGACGACUCAGCUGGGAAUCUAACUAGGUUCUAACAAAAUAUUUGAACUAACUUAUUUGACUAACUAUUCGGGUUUGUAAUAGUUAAACUCUUUAUUUGCUUAUGUGUUUAAAUUUUCAUAAAAUUUAAACUAUUGCAUUUCAUGGAAUACUUCCCCAUUCGAAAUAUAUAAACUAUUUGGGAUUUUUGGGCUACAGGUGACAAAAAAGUUUUAUAAUGAGGUGUAGGUGACACAAGUUUUAAUAAUUGAGUGGAGGUGACAAUUACUUAAUUAUGGAUUAAGAAAGUUUGAAAAUUUUCAAAAUAACCCACAAGUUUUUAAAUUUACACUUUGAUCCAAAUGUUAGUCAAUAUAACAAAAAACAAAGGGAAAAAAGGUACGUUUUUCUCUCUCCUCAUUCGUUGUUAUUUUCUCUCUCUUCGCGAUAUUUGUUGUUCAUUAUUGUUGCUGCUUUAUUCAUCAUCUUCUGAUUCAUUAUCAUCAUCUUAUACUUCAUUAUCAUCUUCAUAUUCUUCUUGUUGAUCAUUGUUGUUGUUGUUGUUAUUGUUACCGUAACUGCUGCUCUUUGACCAAUUUCUUAUGUCAAAUUUUGUUUCGUACAUCACUGUCAACAUUGGCAUUUAUUUGAGAGGAGACUUUGGUAUGCCAAAUUAUGCUUUUUAGUUGAAUCUAUCAUCUGGGUAACUGCUAGUGUGCUGUUUUUUCAAUAAUAGCUAGCACACAAAUAUCAAUGCAACAUCAGAGCAAUCUAUUUAAACAGAUCCAUCAUCUGUGGCACCAGAUAAAUGAUCUGUUGCAAUAGUAGACUCAUGUUAAAUUCAUGUUUAUGUUUCUAGGUGCCCGUAAUAUGAAUCGAAUAGAUGGGUAUUCUGUUGCAACAGAUUAAUAAUAUGUUGCACCAGAUUAGUAAUCUGUUUCAACAGAUAAAUAAUCUGUUGCACCAGAUUAGUUAUCUGUCCCAACAGACAAGUAAUCUGUUGUAACAGAAUAUAUAUCUAUUGCAAAAGAAUAUUUAUCUGUUGCAACAGAUAAUUAUUCUAUUGCAACAGAUUAAUAAUCUAUUUCGAAUAACAAAAUGCAACUCCUAUCACAAACCCAACAGAUAACUCAACUCAUAUGUUGAUCUCUUUCUAUUAAUACUGAAUUCAAAUUAUUCCUUAAUUGUAGACAUGCCAUUCAUUGAGAAAAAGAAAUAGAUAGCAUGAAAAUUAAAUAAGAAUUAAAACGUCAUAUGCAUCAAACAUAAAUUUUUUAUUAAACAAAAAAAUAAAAAUACAUAGGUAAAUGAAAAAAAAAAUUUAAUUAUUAUUAUCAUCAUUAUCAUCAUUAUUGUUUGUGUGGCCAGCCAGCCAAUCUUCAACCGGCAGCCGCAGCGCCCUCCUCAGCCUACGGAUCUCCUGCAGCAUCUUUACUCUGACGGUGGCCAACUCUCACUGCAGGUCAUGAACCUCCUUUUGCAGUUCUCGCAUGGCGUCUCGUAAAAUAGCGAUAUCUCACACUGGAUCAGCCAUAUCUAGAAAACGCAUAAGUUGGCAAAACACACACGUAAAAAUAAAAUUAACGAAAAGAAAGAAUUCAAAAGUAAUACAACAUAUAUUUACACAAAAAUCAAGAAAAAAACUUACCAGAGACAAGAAAAAGCUAUCAAGUCCUUGAAGAGAAAGUAGCUGAAGGUGUAACAAGAGCAAGGAAUAAAUAGGGUGUAGUAGAAGGAAUGAUAGAGUAAGGAGGGACCUAUUUAUAGAGGAUUGAACUUGAAUUUGUUAGGCAAAAAGUUGCAACUAUUCACUUCCAUUUAUUAAUGACAUUUCUUGCUUACCGUGAAAAGUUAUGACUUAAUUAAAUUAAGCAAUAUUGUGAUAAGUCGACUUUUCAGCUUAUUAUUAUUAUUAUUAUUAUUAUUAAUAAUAAUAAUAAUAAUAAUUAGUUAUUUCCAAGAACCAUUUUUAUAUUGAGUUGUGACAACAU